rnacentral:rRNA from 1 species
UGGGGAAUAUUGCACAAUGGGGGAAACCCUGAUGCAGCAACGCCGCGUGCGGGAUGACGGCCUUCGGGUUGUAAACCGCUUUCAGCCAUGACGAAGCUUUUGUGACGGUAGUGGCAGAAGAAGCACCGGCUAACUACGUGCCAGCAGCCGCGGUGAUACGUAGGGUGCGAACGUUGUCCGGAAUUAUUGGGCGUAAAGAGCUUGUAGGCGGUUUGUCGCGUCGAAAGUGUAAACUCAGUGCUUAACGCUGAGCCUGCUUUCGAUACGGGCUGACUAGAGGAAGGUAGGGGAGAAUGGAAUUCCCGGUGGAGCGGUGGAAUGCGCAGAUAUCGGGAGGAACACCAGUGGCGAAGGCGGUUCUCUGGACCUUUCCUGACGCUGAGAAGCGAAAGCGUGGGUAGCAAACAGG